rnacentral:rRNA from 1 species
AACGAACGCUGGCGGCAUGCCUAACACAUGCAAGUCGAACGAGACCUUCGGGUCUAGUGGCGCACGGGUGCGUAACGCGUGGGAAUCUGCCCUUGGGUUCGGAAUAACAGUUGGAAACGACUGCUAAUACCGGAUGAUGACGUAAGUCCAAAGAUUUAUCGCCCAAGGAUGAGCCCGCGUAGGAUUAGCUAGUUGGUGAGGUAAAGGCUCACCAAGGCGACGAUCCUUAGCUGGUCUGAGAGGAUGAUCAGCCACACUGGGACUGAGACACGGCCCAGACUCCUACGGGAGGCAGCAGUGGGGAAUAUUGGACAAUGGGCGAAAGCCUGAUCCAGCAAUGCCGCGUGAGUGAUGAAGGCCUUAGGGUUGUAAAGCUCUUUUACCCGGGAUGAUAAUGACAGUACCGGGAGAAUAAGCUCCGGCUAACUCCGUGCCAGCAGCCGCGGUAA